GCGGGUGUAACUCAGUUGGUAGAGUGACAGCUUCCCAAGCUGUUUGUCGCCGGUUCGAAUCCGGUCACCCGCUC
rnacentral:tRNA from 1 species